GUGUUCGUUGAAAGGAGAGACGGUUGGCAUCUCCCCUGACAGGGACGGGAACGCUUUCGAGCUUACCUGUUACCACACAUGGUUAAGGCUACCCGCUUCGGCGGAUCUUACCCAAUUUUUUU